rnacentral:rRNA from 1 species
UACAGAGGGUGCGAGCGUUGUUCGGAAUUAUUGGGCGUAAAGAGCGUGUAGGCGGCCACACAGGUCUGCUGUGAAAACUCGAGGCUCAACCUCGAGCUGUCGGUGGAAACCGUGUGGCUAGAGUCCGGAAGAGGAGAGUGGAAUUCCCGGUGUAGCGGUGAAAUGCGCAGAUAUCGGGAAGAACACCCGUGGCGAAGGCGGCUCUCUGGGACGGUACUGACGCUGAGACGCGAAAGCGUGGGGAGCGAACAGG